rnacentral:rRNA from 1 species
GAUGAACGCUAGCUACAGGCUUAACACAUGCAAGUCGAGGGGUAACGAGAGGAAAGCUUGCUUUCCUUGUCGACGACCGGCGCACGGGUGAGUAACGCGUAUCCAACCUGCCCCCAACUAGGGAAUAACCUUGCGAAAGUAAGACUAAUACCCUAUAAUUUCCUCAGAUGACAUCUGACGAGGAAUAAAGAUUUAUCGGUUGUGGAUGGGGAUGCGUCUGAUUAGCUUGUUGGCGGGGUAACGGCCCACCAAGGCAACGAUCAGUAGGGGUUCUGAGAGGAAGGUCCCGCACAUUGGAACUCAGACACGGUCCAAACUCCCACGGGAGGCAGCAGUGAGGAAUAUUGGUCAAUGGGCGUAAGCCUGAACCAGCCAAGUAGCGUGCAGGAUGACGGCCCUAUGGGUUGUAAACUGCUUUUAUACAGGAAUAAAGUUAGCCACGUGUGGUUAUUUGUAGGUACUGUAUGAAUAAGGACCGGCUAAUUCCGUGCCAGCAGCCGCGGUAA